rnacentral:rRNA from 1 species
AUGGCUCAGGACGAACGCUGGCGGCGUGCCUAACACAUGCAAGUCGAGCGGAGACAUACAGCGAAGCGGAAGUUUCGGAUGGAAGCUAAGAGGUAUGUUUAGCGGCGGACGGGUGAGUAACGCGUGAGCAACCUGUCCUUCACAGGGGGAUAACACAUCGAAAGGUGUACUAAUACCGCAUAAGACCACAAUGAGACAUCUCGCAGGGGUCAAAGGAGAAAUCCGGUGAAGGGUGGGCUCGCGUCCGAUUAGAUAGUUGGUGAGGUAACGGCCCACCAAGUCAACGAUCGGUAGCCGACCUGAGAGGGUGAUCGGCCACAUUGGGACUGAGGCACGGCCCAAACUCCUGCGGGAGGCAGCAGUGGGGAAUAUUGGGGCAAUGGGGGGAACCCUGACCCAGCAACGCCGCGUGAGGGAAGAAGGUUUUCGGAUCGUAAACCUCUGUCCUUGGUGAAGAGUAAGAGACGGUAGCCAAGGAGGAAGCCCCGGCUAACUACGUGCCAGCCGCGGC